AACAUGAAGUUACUUGGUAUUUUUUCCUGUUUGGUUGCCGUGGCGAUGGGGAGUGAUGUCAUAGAACUCACAGACAACGAUUUCAAAAAUAGAUUGGAACUUAUGACAUCGAACUUGUUGAAUUUUUUGCACCAUGGUGUGGGCAUUGCAAAAGACUUGCACCCGAAUAUGAGAAAGCUGCAACUGCACUUAAGUCAGAUAAGUCCAGCGCUGUUUUGAUCAAGGUUGACUGCACGGCUAAUACAGGAACAUGCGGAGAGUAUGGUGUAUCUGGAUACCCCACGCUCAAAAUUUUCCAAGGAGGGAAAAUGGCUUCCGAUUACAGUGGGCCAAGGGAGGCAGGUAAA